AGCGAACGCUGGCGGCAGGCCUAACACAUGCAAGUCGAACGAACUCUUCGGAGUUAGUGGCGGACGGGUGAGUAACACGUGGGAACGUGCCUUUAGGUUCGGAAUAACUCAGGGAAACUUGUGCUAAUACCGAAUGUGCCCUUCGGGGGAAAGAGUUAUCGCCUUUAGAGCGGCCCUUGUCUGAUUAGCUAGUUGGUGGUGUAACGGCUCACCAAGGCGACGAUCAGUAGCUGGUCUGAGAGGAUGACCAGCCACACUGGGACUGAGACACGGCCCAGACUCCUACGGGAGGCAGCAGUGGGGAAUCUUGCGCAAUGGGCGAAAGCCUGACGCAGCCAUGCCGCGUGAAUGAUGAAGGUCUUAGGAUUGUAAAAUUCUUUCACCGGGGACGAUAAUGACGGUACCCGGAGAAGAAGCCCCGGCUAACUUCGUGCCAGCAGCCGCAGUAA
rnacentral:rRNA from 1 species